rnacentral:rRNA from 1 species
GAUGAACGCUAGCGGCAGGCCUAACACAUGCAAGUCGAGGGAGAAGCCCUUUCGGGGGCAGAAACCGGCGCACGGGUGCGUAACGCGUAUGCAACCUACCUUUCACAGGGGGAUAGCCCGAAGAAAUUUGGAUUAAUACCCCAUAAUAUUAUUGGAUGGCAUCAUUUGAUAAUUAAAACUGCGGUGGUGAAAGAUGGGCAUGCGUCCUAUUAGCUAGUUGGAGUGGUAACGGCACCCCAAGGCUACGAUAGGUAGGGGUCCUGAGAGGGAGAUCCCCCACACUUGUACUGAGACAGGGACCAGACUCCUACGGGAGGCAGCAGUGAGGAAUAUUGGUCAAUGGUCGGAAGACUGAACCAGCCAUGCCGCGUGCAGGAAGAAUGCCUUAUGGGUUGUAAACUGCUUUUAUAUGGGAAGAAUAAGGCGUACGUGUACGUUGAUGACGGUACCAUAUGAAUAAGCAUCGGCUAACUCCGUG